rnacentral:misc_RNA from 1 species
UAACCAAUCAAGCUCUGCUUGGUCUUGGGGUCUGCUAUACCGGCGACCCUUAAAAUCAGUGGCGGUGCCGUUUGGCUCUAAGCGUAGUAAUACUUCUCGCUAUAGGGUCCAGUCGUUCACCGGCCAGAAUUCUUAAUUUUCUUAGG